rnacentral:lncRNA from 10 species
GACAGUUUUAAAUCAGCUGCAAUUGUAUGAGGUCUCUGAAGAAUCUCCAUACCAUCUUCCACAAUUGUUGAACUAAUUUACACUUCCAGUAACAAUGUGACCAACAACACAUGGAAGCUGCCAAGGCUUGGGGUUUACACCCUCUGAAGCAAUGGCCUGAGCUGCACCUUGGACCUUUUUAGCCAAAGCUGAAGCAGCUGAGAGGCAAGGCCCCAAGUCUCAGGCUUCACACAGUAGGGGGCACCUGGACCUAGCCCAGGAAACUAUUUUUCCCUUAAUGGCAUACCCUCCCAUCACAGGCCCAGAAGCCUAGGACAUAACCUGGAGGCAUUUUCCCCUUUGUCUUGGUGAUUAGAUGCAGCACCCCCAGGGGGAACUUUGCCCCUCCCAUUUGGGCACAACCACUGAAGACUUCCUCAUCUUUGCCACAUAAAAGCCCCAGAACACAGCCCCAUUUCUGGCAACCCUCUUUGGGUCCCCUCUCUUUGCUGAGAACUUUUCUGUUGCUUAAUAAAACUUUGCUCUACAUUAUUCCUUCUCUGGUGUCUGCGUGCUUUAUUCUUCUUGGUCAUGGGACAAGAACUUAGACCUAGUUGAACUGAGGAGCGAUUAGGCUGCAACACUAAUAUCAACCAAAAAAUUAGAGAACAAAGGGCAAACAGACCUCAAAGCUAGCAGAAGACAAGAAACAACCCAAAUCAGAGCAGAUCUGAAGGAGACGGAGACACAGUAAAACUACCCUAAGAACAAUGAAUCCAGGAGGUUGUUUUUUUAAAAAAUUAAUAAAAUAGCUCACCAGCUAGACUAAUAAAGAAGAAAAGAGAAG